CCUUACCGCUGCAUUUUGGUGCCGGGGGUUUCUACGCUUAU
rnacentral:sRNA from 1 species